GUGGGGAAUUUUGGACAAUGGGGGAAACCCUGAUCCAGCGACGCCGCGUGAAGGAUGAAGGCCUUCGGGUUGUAAACUUCUUUUGGAGGGGACGAAUAAAUUGACGGUACCCUCAGAAGAAGCCACGGCUAACUACGUGCCAGCAGCCGCGGUAAUACGUAGGUGGCGAGCGUUACUCGGAAUUACUAGGCGUAAAGCGUAUGUAGGCGGUUGUAUAAGUCUAUGGUGAAAUUUCCUGGCUCAACUGGGAAGGGACAUAGAUACUGUAGGGCUUGAGUGUUGGAUGAGGAGACGGAAUUCCUGGUGUAGCGGUGAAAUGCGUAGAUAUCAGGAGGAACACCGAUGGCGAAAGCAGUCUCCUGGCCAAAUACUGACGCUGAGGUACGAAAGCUAGGGUAGCAAACAGGAUUAGAUACCCCUGUAGUCC
rnacentral:rRNA from 1 species